rnacentral:lncRNA from 1 species
GAGCAACUCAUUAAAAUGGUGACAAUGGCAGUAAAGAUAGUCUUGCAAAAGGACCUGAGCCCUAGGACCAUGCCUCAGGACUACCUGGUAUGAUGACUCCUUGCUGUCCCCAGUCCACCUGGCCGUGCUGCUGCUCCAGUUUCAACUGUUCUGCCUGCGGCUAUGGAACCCUGACCUGUUCACCGGACGUGCUUGUUGCACCCUCGACAACUACUAUGAUUAUUAUUAUUUGACCAUGCUGGUCAUUUAUGAACAUUUUAACAUUUUAACAUUUUGACCAUGUUCUGUUAUAAUAUCCACCCUGCACAGCCAGAAGAGGACUGGCCACCCCUCAUAGCCUGGUUCCUCUCUAGGUUUCUUCCUAGGUUUUUGGCCUUUCUAGGGAGUUUUUCCUAGGGAGUUUUUCCUAGCCACCGUGCUUCUUUCACAUGCUUUGCUUGCUGUUUGGGGUUUUAGGCUGGGUUUCUGUACAGCACUUUGAGAAUAUCAGCUGAUGUACGAAGGGCUAUAUAAAAAUAAAUUUGAUUUUGAUUUGAUUUGAGUGGUUUCGGGACAAGUCUCUGAAUGUCAUUGAGUGGCCCAGUCAGAGCCUAGACUUGAACCCAAUCAAACAUCUCUGGA